AUAAUAUGGGUAUAUUUAACUAUGCAUUUUUAAUGAAAGAACCUUCAUUAAUAUCACAUUAUACUAUUUAUCUUAGUAAAGAGGGUAAAAAAAGCAACAUACUAAAUUCAGAUGACUGGUGUGAUAAGCACAAAGAUGAUAUUAUAGAAUAUUAUUCGACGGAACGAAAAGAAAAAUUAAAAAGUAAUUUCAAGGGUCGUAUGAAUGUCCUCCUAAAUCAUGUGGUUGCUG